rnacentral:rRNA from 1 species
UACAGAGGGUGCGAGCGUUAAUCGGAAUUACUGGGCGUAAAGCGCACGUAGUCGGCUUUGCAAGUCGGGUGUGAAAUCCCCGGGCUCAACCUGGGAACUGCAUCCGAGACUGCAUUGCUAGAGUAUGGGAGAGGGAAGCGGAAUUUCUGGUGUAGCAGUGAAAUGCGCAGAUAUCAGGAGGAACACCAAUGGCGAAGGCAGCUCGCUGGGACGUGACUGACGCUGAGGAGCGAAAGCGUGGGGAGCGAACAGG